UGCAUCCUACGGGAGGCAGCAGUGGGGAAUAUUGCACAAUGGGGGAAACCCUGAUGCAGCAACGCCGCGUGAGUGAAGAAGUAUUUCGAUAUGUAAAGCUCUAUCAGCAGGGAAGAAGAUGACGGUACCUGAGUAAGAAGCCCCGGCUAACUACGUGCCAGCAGCCGCGGUAAUACGUAGGGGGCAAGCGUUAUCCGGAUUUACUGGGUGUAAAGGGAGCGUAGACGGCAUAGCAAGUCUGAAGUGAAAGCCCAAGGCUCAACCAUGGGACUGCUUUGGAAACUGUAUAGCUGGAGUGCAGGAGG
rnacentral:rRNA from 1 species